UCUCUCUCUCCGCCGCUCCCUCUCUUCCUCUCUCUCUCUUCCUACCUCUCUCUCUCUUCCUGCUCUGUCUUCUUGCCUUUUUCUUCCUUCACAUAUCUUCCCUUCACUAGUUCAAGUUCAAGCGAGUUUAAGCCUUCAGUCUCAGGAAUUAAAGACUUGGUUUUGGAGCAACCAACGAUUAUUAUUGAUGAGACAACUGAAGUUUCAAAUCUCACAAGUGAAUGAAACACGACCUCCAAGCUUAUUUAAUUUGCAUUGUGGCUUUGUUAUAUUAUUGUACUUUGUAUUUGUAAUUUGUAUGUUUGGAAUUAUGUAACUAAUGACUUCCCCUAAACUUUAGCUUUUAAUUAGCACUUUAAUAUGUUAAAACAGGUUACUAAAAUGUAGCAGGUACUCAAGGAAGUCAAGGGCUACAUUUUACUGCAUUAAUUCUGGAAAAACAUGCAUAAAGCAUAAAAGCAGAA